GACCGCGUAGCUCAGUUGGCAGAGCAUUGGACUAGUAUCCCAAAGGUCGCGGGUUUGAUUCCCACCGUGGUCA
rnacentral:tRNA from 1 species